CAUUCACUGAUCAACGGUGCGUAUGCCUUAAGAAUAUUUUUUUAUGCUUUUAUUAAGCAAUAAUAUUAUCCUUAAAUAAGCAUAGUAGGAUAUAAGAAAAUACGUAUUCCUAAAAGAUUUUAUUAACAAAAUUAAAGUAACCUCUAUUUUGAAUUAUAAAAAUUCCCACCAAAAUCCCUUGAAUCCUCCUCCUUUUUUUACUUCGGAAGAUUGAUGAAGCAUGUAAUAAAUAGAUGAAGGACAUGACUAUAUGCAGAUGCAAAAAUUUAACUAACGUAUAUUUUUCUACUUUUUCCCUCUUAGUAAACUACUAGGUGUAUCACAUUUCCAUGAGUGAUAAUCGCAUGGCUAGUUCAAUCUGCUCUUGUUCGUUCAGUUCAGCAACAUUCGCUUGUUCUUGCGGUGGCUCAUGAUUUGAACUUAAAGCAUUUAAUGACGAUGUAGCUUGUUCAUCGUUUUCUUUAAAAUCUUCUUCUAUUUUAUCAACAUCCAUGGAGAGCUGAACCAUUCUCUUAGCUUCCUCUUCUUGUGAAAGCAUGGUAACAUAUGCUAUGAUUUCUUCUUCACUUAAACCAACCAAGCCCUCACCAAAAUGCUGUUCAAAUUUUUGCCGGGCUUCCAUUUUUUCUCGUCUUUCCUGAGCAAUUUGGUCCAAACCUAACAUGAUUUCUCUUUCGACUUCAUUUUUUGAGUAGUCAGACGACUUCGACAGAUUAUCGUGUGUCACCGAAGGUCUCAAGGGUAAAACCUUGGACCUUUUAUUAACAAAAGGUUUGGGAAUUGUAUAAGACCAAGAUUUGACAUGCUUGCUCAUGGUGAUCACACCUUUCAAACUUAACGGAUUUGAGUCAAGCAGUAUGCAAUUAAUUGGUUCUCUUCUAGCAGCAUUCCUGGCACUCGCUAUUUUUUUCAAAAAAUUCCCAGUAACGGUAUCGUAUACUCCGCAAUAGCCGCUAGCCGACCCUACUACCAUUGCAACUUCAUUCAAGUAAAUAUCGGUAAUAGGAAAAUUUGAGUAUGCAGUAAUAGUUCUAAGAAUGGCCUUGUUAGGAUCUUCAGUGCGAGUGUUUACAACAUAAACCAAACCAUUUUCAUCACCAACAGCGAGCAGUCUUGCUCCUCUACCAGGAGUUGAUUUUGACAACACACGAUCGUUCGUAUCUAAGGAGAUUGAGGUUGGUUUUCCGUUGAGAGGAAUUGAAGAUGUUUGAACGCCGACAUUAUCGUUUUUCUCCAAAAAUUCUUUAAAUGAAACUCGACAAAUACAAUUUUUCGGUGCGCCCCUGGACAAGAAGGCAACACCGGCACAGCAAUCUGCCGUCAUCAGACAAGGAGGUUCCUCUUCAUCAGUUAACACACAUUUUCUGGACGAUAAAAGUAUAGGCUGCUCAUUCUUUCGGGAGCGAGCAUAGCCCGGUAUUAAGUAUAAUUGAUAUGAGUUAAGUUCAUAAUUAAAAGUGUCAACGAGUAGCAUUUUGUAUUUCGGCCUGAAACACAAAGAAAGGAUUUGUGAAGAACGGAAUUGAAAUGAUUGAAGACUAACACCUGUUUUAACAUCCCAGCAAUGCACGGAUCCAUCAUCUGAUCCAGUAACCAUACCGAUUUCCCCAGUGGGGGGCAAAUCACCGGUUAAUGCAUCAAUGCAUGUAACUGAAUCAGCAUGGGAAUCCAGACAAUAACGAAAUUUUCGAGGAGUCUCGGCUUGACGUGACAUCAAAAUAACUCCAACGCGACCAUCCAUAAAACCAAAGCCAAAAAUUUGUUUCCCCAAUGUCAUUGUAGAUAAUCCAUGCGUAAAGCUGCCAUCAGUACUAGCAUGUAAUAAAGACCUCUCAACCUUUCCAGUGGUAGGGUCGGAAACGGAGAUUGUUCCAGUAAGCCAAUUUCCUGAAUAAAGCCUUCCUGAAGAAAAGUCGUAAUAAAGGUUGGUCAAUUGUCCAACGCGACAAUCAUACUGAACUGUUUGCCCUUUCCCUUUUUCAUAAGCUCUAGUAAUGGUAGAACGUAAAAGAUAUUCUUGCCGCCAUGUUCCAUUACCUAGUGGACUAAAUAUUUGCGACUGAUCACCCGCAAAGUGAUGAAAAAAAGCAGUACGCCAACUUAAAUCAUCGGAUAAUAACUUUUUCCAAUAUUUGCAAGUGCAUUGAGCAGAAAGUAAAGAGCGAGGAUCAAGAAACGAAAAUAUAAUGAUCAAAAUUUCUAGAAAAAGUUAACAAAAUCUCGAAAACUAAAAUUGAAUGUGUGAGAAUUUACCUUUUGGCAGGUUUAAAACUGUUCUAUUCGUAUUAUUUGAAGAAUGAUCCCGAUUCAUUCUCCUUAGGUUUGAGGAUGUAAAAUCCAAAGAUGUUGGUUCCGAUUUCAUUGGUCUUGGCGUUUUGCCUUAGUAUAUAAAGUGGAACUUACUACGUGUACCAACGUAUCGCUCAGAAAACGUCCUGUAAUCAUUAAUUAACGAGCAUUUUAUAUUCGAAAAUUAAUGUUUGCUUGUAUCUUUUGAUAGAUUAAUUAAAAUGCUUUUAUCU
rnacentral:lncRNA from 1 species